UACUAGAUGCCUCAAACUACGCCAAAGGUGAAAACAGCGUCCUUCUCCAACAGUGAAAAAGAAAUCCUCUUCACAAGAAGGAGAAGCCUGGGAACUAUAGACCUGAGAGUCUGACUUCUGUGGUGGAUCUAGACCAGAAAUGUGGAAAUUUUCAUAUCUUCAAUCUCUGGAGAUAAGAUACCUCUGGCCAAUGGACAGGUAAACAGAUGAAGAUAGACAUUCUAAUGCAGGAAGCAUUGGUUUCAAACAUGGAGACUUUAAAGACAAUCAGUUCAGGUGUCGAUGAAGUAAAUAGCAUAGAUGUCACUUGAUCCACCUGUUCUUCAGGGAAUUCAGUUGCUGGUGACUCGACUACUGCCUUAUGUGAAAAAAAACAAAAUAGUGCAAAACAUACCAACAGUACAUGAAGAAUUCCUAUGUGUUUUUAAGUUUGGUUUGGUUUUAGCAUUUGUGUGCAUUAAAGAAUUCAGGGCUAUAUUUUAGUUCAAAAACUGUGAAAUUGUUUAAUUUUUCUGUAAUUCUUUCCAAUUAAAACUGGCUUUAAAUAUCAGUUUGAAACCAUAGUCCCAUCAUUGUGGGAUAAGGAGGGAGUUUUGUAAACCCUAGGGUCUUUGCAAUGGUUCAUGUCACUUGGAGCAGGAAGAUUUGUCCUAGAGAUGUGAUAACUUGUCUGAACAUAUUGGCCCAAAGUAACUGAAUUACCUUUAAAUGGUCAAAGAUCAUCCAGGAUUUGAUUCUAUUAUUGGUUUUCAUGCUAUCUGUGAAAUUUAUAUCUUCUGUGGCAGAAGUGGGCUAUUCAACUUCUUGAUUAAAAAUCCUGGCUGAUCUUUGUUUUAAAUUGCACAUUUCCAUCUAAUCCAGUAUCUUGGUUCCUCGGAGUUUCAAGGUGUUUCAACCCACUGUCUUUUUUUCAUCUGUCCUAAAAAGUGACCCUUAAAUGUUAAAAUACCGUCCCCUGAUUCUAGGCUCACCCACAUCAAGAAACACUUCUACAUCCACUUUAUCAAGACUUUUCAGCUUCUAUACUUCGAUUAGUGAUUCAUUGCUCUUUACUGCAGUAGAGAACAGCUCAAUAUGUCCAAUCUCUGCCUUACAAUGAUCACCUCUUUCCAGCCAGCAACAGAGUAAUGCGCUAAUUGCAAAUGGCUCUUUUUAAUAAGUAAACUUAUCUGACAGCUAGCUAAAUGCUUCCAUUCUUCUGAGGUAUUGGAAAUUGAUUUUGUACUCAAAUGUUACUGUAGUUCGAGGCACAAUAAAAAUGAAGGGAAAGAAAAUGAAAGGACUGCAAAAAGUACUCAACCCUUUUUAAUCUUUUGAUUCCCUGUCAAUGGAUGCAUACAGACUCCAUUCAUAAUUAAAAUAUUGUUAACUGGCUCCCUUUGGGGAGGUCAUUUCUUACACAAUAUUUCUGGAUAAUGCCACAUAGACUAGUGUGUAGAUAAAAGACCAACAGUUGUGAUUUUUUUUCCGCUCCUGUCUGUUUUAUCUGCUGCACUGGUUACUCCCAUUUAACGUAAUAUAGCUGAUUUUAUUUUAGAGAACAAUUUGCUAAGUGCUUUUAGUACCAAUAAAUCUUGGUUAUGUGACGUCUAACGUUGUUUAGAUGCUUAACCAGAAAAUAAAUAAACAGCAACUUACAUCAACCCCUGGAGUGUUUCUUCUUUCUCCCUCUCCUUCCUCACUUCUUUCCCCCUCUUCUUCUCUUCCCCACCCCCCAAGAAACAACUUGAAUAAUUGAAGGAAAAUGUGACUUAUCCAAAGUUUGUGAUCAUAUAAAUGGAUUUGGAGCUGGUAGUUUUGCCACAUCAACUCAAAACUAUCAACUCUGUGGGUAGCAUGCUAAGCUUGAAUACUUGUGCCAUAACUGUAGGGGGAAAGAGAUGCACUGUCUUAUUCGUAGGAGGCAACUGAGGGUGUUCUUUCAGCAAACAGAACAGUACCAUGGACUGGAAGGAAGAAUGUAACUUCACCAAGAAGUUACAUUCCAACUGACCUGUGCAUAGUUUGUCAUUUCCAUUAUUGCUCAACUUUACCCAAUUUACAUUUCUGAACUUUACCCCUCCUAUUUGCAUUUGUUAGAUUGUUCAGCAUUUUAACAUGGUCGAACAUCUAAAGGGGGUGGGGGGAAGGUACAGUAAACAAACCCAGGACUCGCUGCAUGCUGAAACUACAAAACAAAUGCUUCAGAGCUUGGUGAUCUUUGAUUUAAAAAGAGCUGGCGUGGAACAUGUAAAAGAUAGAUCUCAACCUCUUUUGAAAUAACAAGGUUGAUGAAGGAAAUGCAAUGGAUGUGCAUAAAAAUUCUAAGAAGAUGUCAAAAUGAUUAAACAUGAGCUGUUAUGAUACCAGCUGAUGCUAUUGCUGGACAAGUGAGAUCCCAGACACAAAUGUUUCUUGAUGAUCAU